CAUUUUGUAUCUCAAAACAUAUGUUACCGAUUAAUUCAUUAAGAGAGUUUGCUAAUUCAAAUUAUAUCUCAUAUUAUAUAUCUACUAUUAUUUUUCACUUUACAUAGUUAAUUAUCACAUUUAUUUAUUUAUUUCAGACUGUUGAUGCGGUUAUUGUCAGUGUUUCAAUCCAAACAGAUACAUUUUCCAUUGCACAAAAGACAUCCGUUCGACGUAACAAUGAUUACGAAUUUGGACAAAAAAUGCUCACAGAACUCAAGAGCAAAUGGAGUACUUUGGCAACCUCUAUCUCUGCACUACAAGCAGCUGGAGACCAGAAAAGAAUUGAUUAUCAUUGAUAGAAGUAAUGCAUGUUGCACACAACGAAGAUAAAGUCUUCUUUAUCAAUAAACUCUCUUGUAUAAGUGUCUUUUUCUAAAUCAACUUAGGACUGAAUGCGCUUCAUGCAUUAAUCAAUCUUGGAAAGAAUAUGGCAUAUCAAAUGCACAAUCUCGUGAUGAAUAUAGCAUUUACAACAGAUCAACCUUGGGAUGAAUGUGCCAUUAAAAACACAUAAACAUCGAGAUGAAUGUAGCAAAUUAAAACAAAAUAUCAAUAAAAAGAAAAUAUUGAGGCCUAAUGUAAUAAAGCUGUUACAGAAAGCUUUUCACUCGAACAGUAAACAAAAGAUUAAAUUCAAAAUAGAAAAUUGAUAUUUCUUUUUUUUACAGUAACUAGAGAUAUGAAUAAUAUAUUGUAAUCAAAUUUGUUAUAUAGCAAGAAUCAAGGCAACGGUUACUCAAAAUAGAAAAAAAGGUUUCCAGACAAUACCUAGAUACAUGAUCAUAUACAGAAUAAAUUCAAUGUUUCUACAUAUCAUUUCAAACAUUUUGUGCAUAUAUUGCUUUUUUACAUAGUAAUAAACAGAUGAUUAUAAUAUUUUAAUAAGGAAAAUAAUCUAAAAUUAUUAGCAAAUAUUAAAAUAUCAUAAAAGAUUGGUCGAGUUCAAAUUUUGCUGCUUCAGUUCAGACCACUUAUUAUCCGAGGUUGCUGGUUAUUAUUAUUAUUAUUAUUAUUAUUAUUAUCAUUAUAGAGGAAUAAAAAUAUGUACGUGCACUAUAUAAUAUGUCUCUUGUCUCAAUGGUGAUACUUUAUUUAAUAUAAUGAUCAGUGGAAAAAUGACGUUAGUUAUGUUUGUUUUGAAACUACUUCAUAGCUUUAUAUAUUUAUUAUAUAAUUUAUAUCCGGGUAACUUAACAUUAUCAGAACAAGAUAUUUAAAUCAUACAAGCAUUUAACAAAUAUGAAGAACAUGAGUGAAGCACUAUAAAUAUUUUUAUUUCUUUGUUUUUACUGUAUAAUGUGUUAUAAUGACCUACAUUCCCGUUAUUUAAUGAUUUCAUUGUGAUAAUAUUAUAUAUAUUGACAUAUGCACUGUUCGUGUUCUUGUAAAUGUGUUGUUAAUCUGUCUUAUUUGAGUUAAAUAAAUUGUCCGUCUAUCAAUCUCGGGAUAAUAAUAAAUAGAUUAUCAUCGGGAUGAAAGUGACUCAUAAUAAGAUUAUUUAUCAAGAUGAAUAUGAUUCAUAAAUGUUGCAUAAACAAUAGGUCAAACUCUAGAUCAAUAUGGCUUAUGCAAUAGACCAACCUCAUGUGUUAACUGGCUCUUGAAAAGAUUAUCCUCGGUAUGAAUGUGACACAAAAAUGAAUUAAUCUCAUUAUCUUAGUUAUAUUUAUAUCGACUGUUCUUGUAUUUUUACAUUUUCUUAUCUUUUAUCGUUAUAGCUUAUCUUUCACAUGACUGAAUGUUAAUGUUAUUCACAUAUAUUAAGUCAUUGGAUUGACGUCCUUUUUGCUUUUGUUACAUUUCAGAAAUGAUUUUUUGUCAGAGUUUUGUUAUAUUCUGUAAUAAUAAUAAUAAUUUAGAUAUCUAUUGAUUUUUUGUUUGUUUGUUUUAUUGGGUUUUACGUUACACCGACACAAUAUAGGUCAUAUGGCGAAGUUCCAGUAUUACCGGUGGAGGAAGACCUCAGGUGCCCUUCCAUGCAUUAUUCCAUGCACGAACGGGCACCUGAGUAGAACCACCGACGUUCCGUAAACUAGCUGGAUAACUUCCUCACAUGAGAGAAUUCAAAGUCCCUGUCGGGAUUAGAACUCACAGCGGUGAGGGUAUUGCUUGUAGUAGUUCUAGACCAUCUGCGUAAAGACCAUAGUAUAUUAUAUGUUCGUUUAUGAAAAACCGGAUAAUUCAUUUAAUACAUAUACAGCUUGCUUUCUUUAAAUUUUAUUUUACUCACAUGAUUGAAUAUUGUCUUGUCUUUUUUGAACAUGUUAUUAGAUCACAUACAGUAAAUGUAUUUGUUGAUCGAUCAGUAUUUUUUCAUUUUUAUAGAAGUGGUGUUUUGAUAAUGUCAAACAUAUAACUACAUAUCAUUUAAUAAAACAAUAUUAUAUUUCA